AGGCAUCUCUGGAGCCUGUCGGGCUCGUCCAGUUACGGACGCAAACAGCGAGGCAGCCGGGGAGGCCGCUCUGGGGGUGAGAUAGCGAAGACGCCUGGGCCAGGGGCGGAGGCCGACCGCGGAGGCGCCCUGCGGGCUUUGCCAAACAGAACAAACAGAUCCUAGCAGUCUUGCAGAUUGGCAGAGAGAACCACCACUUGCCACGUCAGUGACUGCCUGCCGUGUGCCAAGGUGUGCGCAUUGCUCUUGCAGGUCAGCGUGGAGUCCAUGUGGGCAUCCUGCCAGUUGUCAUGCCUGUUUCAAUGGCACAUUCAGACGGGGGACCUGUGGCCGCACACUGACAAGCAUUACCUGGCACUUGAUCAUGGUCGGCCCUCCUGGACGAGUAGUCCAGGGGCACCGCGGACCUCUGGGACUUGGUAAGCCCUCAGAACCAGUGAAGAUUACACCGGUGGUGUUUCCUGGGCAGUCACCCCAACAAACGGCUGCAGGUACCCCUGGAGUGCCAAGGUUGGGACUCCGUGGAUGUGCAGGCCCUCCCUCCAGCGAGGAUGCUGGGUCUGUGAAUUGGUUUUCAACUGGAAAACAGCACAGGGAACAAGGACCAGUCACGGCUCACUAACAAUUGAGGAAAACCUUCCAUGUCCAAGGCGCACGGAAGCGAGAGGCUCUCCGUCAAACCGCCGACCGCUACCCUAGCACGGAGAACAGGAACACGCCGAGCCCCCUGCGCAAGGCGCUCCUUCCCUACAGACAGCAUCCACAGGCAGGGAGGGCAGCUGGUCGGCGCCGCAGCCCAAACGGCCUCACAGGGAAAGGAUCUUCCUACUCGGCCCGCGCCGUGCCCUCUCCAAAGCACGACUUUACCGACAAAGUAAACGCUAGAAACAGGUAGGCACAGAAACCUGAAAAGGAAAGGUGGGCCCCUGGGCUGUUACACGGUCACGGAAGAACACAGGCUCCGCGGGGAUGCCGCCCGUCCCUCCUGCCAAGGAGCGAGGCCUGGAAGCCAGGUGCUGCCCGAGCCCGCCCAUGCCCCGCACCUCCUCAGUCACCAGCUGUGCUGCGACCGUGCGCUGGGAGGUGUUGAAGAUGCAGGGCAGCAUCAAGCGGGCCUCCCAAGAAGCAUCGCAAACCGUGUAUUGCUGUGCUCUCCACAAAAACUGGUAAGAGAGUGAAGAAAACACUUUUCCUCAAUUUAUUCCCCACAAUCUUUAAACACCUGUGUUAACAAAGAGCUAAGUUACUAAGUACAAACGAGCCUGGUUUUCAGUGGCAGUGAGACCGAGGUGCUGGUGGCGGCCGGCGCUCCUCCGGGCCCCCGGCCCUUCUCUCUGCAUGGCAGGAAGGCGUCAGGCCCGCGACAGAAAGGGCUGCCCUCUCCGAACCGACUCCCCUGCCGCCACCUGGAGGCAAGGCCUGCUCCUGGCGCGCUCGGGAAGGACAGCAGGACGGCACAGCUGCUGGCGCAGGCUGACCCGCCAACAAACAGGCGCAGGCACCAGCCAGGCCCCCGCCGCCCUCUGCCGCCCCAGGUAAUGUCCCAGCUGUCCUUGACCGACAGGAGCUGGUCGGCGAGGGGCGGCCCAUCCAGGAUGCAGCCCCCAGGCGCCCCUGUGCCCGGAGAAACAUCAGAGAACAGGAGAAGCGUGCGGGGAAGCAGACCACUGGAGGCACGUUCCAGAGGCCUCCUCAGAAAGGGACCAGGUUCCUCUUCAUUGGGAAAUUCUGCAUCGCCACCCUACCUCCUGGACUUCUCUUCCUGGCUUGAGGAACAGAAACAGGUUUCCCUCGUUCCUCGGGACUCCCUGGACUCCUCUACAUGUAGGCUGAGGGUCUGAGAGUCCGGAACGCUCCCAGGAGUCCCGCUACGCACCAUCACAAAUGGAUCUCAACACACCAAAUGUAUGCGAUGUCCCCCAACUAUUACCUAAAACACGGUUCAAAAUUGAUUCAGUGAAUGCAUAUUAAACAAAACACACUGUG